rnacentral:rRNA from 1 species
GAUGAACGCUGACAGAAUGCUUAACACAUGCAAGUCUACUUGAACUUCGGUGUGGGUGGCGGGUGGGUGAGUAACGAGUAAAUAACUUACCUCACAGUUAGGGACCACAUUUGGAAACGAAUGCUAAUACCUGUGAUUAUGAUUUUAGGGCAUCCUUAGUGUAUGAAAGCUAUGUGGGCUGUGUGAGAGCUUUGCGUCCCAUUAGCUAGUUGGAGAGGUUACGGGUAACCAAGGCGAUGAUGGGUAGCCGGCCUGAGAGGGUGCACGGCAAAAAGGGGACGGAGACACGGCCCGUACUCCUACGGGAGGCAGCAGUGGGGAAUAUUGGACAAUGGAGCAAACGUCUGGUACAGCAAUUCUGUGUGGAAGAUGACGUUUCUCGGAAUGUAAAGUGCUUUCAGUUGGGAAGAAAAAAAUGACGGUACCAACAGAAGAAGUGACGGCUAAAUACGUG